GAUGAACGCUGGCGGCGUGCCUAAUACAUGCAAGUCGAGCGAACAGACGAGGAGCUUGCUCCUCUGACGUUAGCGGCGGACGGGUGAGUAACACGUGGAUAACCUACCUAUAAGACUGGGAUAACUUCGGGAAACCGGAGCUAAUACCGGAUAAUAUAUUGAACCGCAUGGUUCAAUAGUGAAAGACGGUUUUGCUGUCACUUAUAGAUGGAUCCGCGCCGCAUUAGCUAGUUGGUAAGGUAACGGCUUACCAAGGCAACGAUGCGUAGCCGACCUGAGAGGGUGAUCGGCCACACUGGAACUGAGACACGGUCCAGACUCCUACGGGAGGCAGCAGUAGGGAAUCUUCCGCAAUGGGCGAAAGCCUGACGGAGCAACGCCGCGUGAGUGAUGAAGGUCUUCGGAUCGUAAAACUCUGUUAUUAGGGAAGAACAAAUGUGUAAGUAACGAUGCACGUCUUGACGGUACCUAAACAGAAAGCCACGGCUAACUACGU
rnacentral:rRNA from 1 species